rnacentral:lncRNA from 1 species
AUAUACAACAAUCUGUCUUUGUCUAUUAUGUCGAUAUCACAUUUAGAAAUCAAUUAAAGUACAUUAUAACAACAAUAUGCAAACAGUUUACAUUACUCAGGGAAACUUCUUUAUUAUAGUCAAAAACGUAUUACAGUUAUACAUUAAAUUCCGAUAAUCCCGGAUAACUACCAUUUAUUUUGAAUAACUAUUGUAGCUACAUUGUAUUCAUGCCUUUUUCGGCGCAUUCUUGCAAGUUCUUUUGUUAUGCCCUUCACCUCCACAAUUGCUACAUGACACCUUGUACUUCUUUGAGUUUAUUUCAUCAAAU